CUCUGGUGGAUGAGAUCUAUCGCAGUCUCUGUGGAUGGAUCUAGCUGCAGUCUCUUUGGAUGAGAUCUAUCUGCAGUCUCUGUGGAUGAGAUCUAUCUGCAGUCUCUGUGGAUGAGAUCUAUCGGCAGUCCUCUGUGGAUGAGAAUCUAUCUGCAGUCCCGCUGUGGAUGAGAUCGAUCUUGCCAUGGGUCACGUGUCUCUGUGAUGGAUCGAUCUUGCCAUGGGUACCGUGUCCUGUGGAUGAGAUCGAUCUUGUCCAUGGGUCGACCGUGUCUCUGUGGAUGAGAUCGAUCUUGCCAUGGGUCCCGUGUCUCUCUGUGGAUGAAUCGAUCUUGCCAUGGGUCACCGUGUCUCUGUGGAUGAGAUCGAUCUUGCCAUGGGUCACCGUGUCUCUGUGGAUGAGAUCUAUCUUGCCAUGGGUCACCGUGUCUCUGUGGAGAGAUCCUAUGCUCCAUGGGCACCGUGUCUCUGUGGAUGAGAUCUUCUGCUGUCAGUGCUCGUGGAUGAAAUCUAUCUGUCGUGUUAUGUGGUGGUUAGUGGCGAAGGGUCGUGGCUUGCCUUGCUAUGUGAAGUUGAACUCUUGGGAGGCCUUUUAAAAUCGCUCCUUUUUUUAAAAAUCAGCUGCUUCGUCCUCUCUUAACCCCCAAGCACAGAGCAUAAAGCAUCCAACGGUAAAUCUAAUCUUUGUAUUGGAAUUGCAAUGCAUUUUCCCGUUGGUCCACGAAGUAGCAGAGCAUUUCCUAGUCUAGGAUAUUUCGAAGGAGUCAAACACUUUGGAUCCUAUCAAAAAAGACACUAAAAACAGGGUAGACAAGCUUCAUCUGCUACAGAUCAAAGAGUGAAAGCUGUUUUGCCAACACAACAUUGACAGUGAGUGACCGCAUAAGAUUGCAGGGAACUGCUAGCUGAUGCUACUAGCCACGGUUUUGACACGGCACUUCUCAAAUGGGUUAAACGUGCCUUUUUGUCUGGGUUCAACUCUUCGUAAUGCUUCUGUCCUUCAUAGUAGGAACAACGGAGUACUGCGCCAAUAUACUAAGACUUAUACAUGGUAAGAAAAAUCAUCAUAUAUAAAAAUAAAAUAAAAAAGACUUGAUACAUGAUUAGAAACAUUCAUAAUAUGUAAGGUUUAUACUUUUGGGGGGGGGG
rnacentral:lncRNA from 1 species